GCGGGUAUCGUAUAGUGGCUUUUAUGCUAGCCUUCCAAGCUGGAGAGAGGGGUUCAAUUCCCCUUACCCGCUCCA
rnacentral:tRNA from 1 species